GCCCAGACUCCUACGGGAGGCAGCAGUGGGGAAUAUUGCACAAUGGGGGAAACCCUGAUGCAGCGACGCCGCGUGAGUGAAGAAGUAUUUCGGUAUGUAAAGCUCUAUCAGCAGGGAAGAAAAUGACGGUACCUGACUAAGAAGCCCCGGCUAACUACGUGCCAGCAGCCGCGGUAAUACGUAGGGGGCAAGCGUUAUCCGGAUUUACUGGGUGUAAAGGGAGCGUAGACGGCAUGGCAAGUCAGAUGUGAAGGCCCGGGGCUCAACCCCGGGACUGCAUUUGAAACUGUCAGGCUGGAGUGCAGGAGAGGUAAGUGGAAUUCCUAGUGUAGCGGUGAAAUGCGUAGAUAUUAGGAGGAACACCAGUGGCGAAGGCGGCUUACUGGACUGUAGCUGACGUUGAGGCUCGAACGCGUGGGGAGCACACAGGAUUAGAUACCCGUGUAA
rnacentral:rRNA from 1 species